rnacentral:rRNA from 1 species
GUGGGGAAUAUUGGGCAAUGGGCGAAAGCCUGACCCAGCAACGCCGCGUGAAGGAAGAAGGUUUUCGGAUCGUAAACUUCUAUCCUUGGUGAAGAUAAUGACGGUAGCCAAGAAGGAAGCCCCGGCUAACUACGUGCCAGCAGCCGCGGUAAUACGUAGGGGGCAAGCGUUGUCCGGAAUGAUUGGGCGUAAAGGGCGCGUAGGCGGCCCGGUAAGUCUGAAGUGAGAGUCCUGCUUUUAAGGUGGGAAUUGCUUUGGAUACUGUCGGGCUUGAGUGCAGGAGAGGUAAGCGGAAGUCCCGGUGUAGCGGUGAAAUGCGUAGAGAUCGGGAGGAACACCAGUGGCGAAGGCGGCUUACUGGACUGUAACUGACGCUGAGGCGCGAAAGUGUGGGGAGCAAACAGGAUUAGAUACCCUGGUAGUCC